rnacentral:lncRNA from 1 species
CCUCAAGGAGGGGAUUUCUUAAAGCGCUUGGGUUUGAAGUGGACGGAAGUAUCAACGGGUCAGCAGUCGUGAUAAGCAAGAGUCGUUUAGAGUAUUGGUGGA